rnacentral:RNase_P_RNA from 1 species
UCUCCCGGCCGGACGGUCGCGGAACCUGCCGCAAGGCAGGUUGCGAGGAAAGUCCGGGCUCCAUGGACAGGCUGCCAGGUAACUCCUGGGCACCGUGGUAACACUGGUGACGGAAAGUGCCACAGAGACUAGACCGCCCCGCGUUCGGAACCACGACCGCGAGGGCAAGGGUGAAAGGGUGGGGUAAGAGCCCACCGCACUCGUGGUAACACGGGUGGCAAGGCAAACCCCAGCCGGAGCAAGGCCGAAUAGGCGGCGAGAAGCAGUCCUCUUCGACAAAGACGCCGCGGGUAGGCUGCUAGAGGGCGCGGGUGACCACGCUCCAAGAGAAAUGACCGUCAGAGGCUUCAUGCUUCGACAGAACCCGGCUUAUAGGCCGGGAGGCUCG